AAAUAUUGCGUGACCCCUGUUGUGACGUAACAUGCAUAUCUACAAAAAUCCAAGAUGGCGGACAUUUCAUUUCUUUCGAUUAAAAUAUUUGUGGAAGUAAGCAAGAUAUGAAAAAACUGUAAAGGAGUUUUCUAUACGAUUUUAAAUGUUCUUUAAAACGAGAAAAUAAAAAAAUAUAUUGCCAUUUCCCUUUAAUAUAGAACCACCUUUCUCAAAUUUUCACCAUGGCUUACCAAAAUAUAAAAAAAAGCAUUUAGUUAAUUUUAUAAUUAAUAUAUAAGGUGCUGGAGCAUGAGUUAGCUUAUAUCAUUACCCAGUAUACGUACAAUAAAUCACCUGUAAUUUUUAUAUUUCUUCGGUUUUAUCGAACGACAUACGAUUAUCGGAUUAUAGCUUAGUCUGAUAAUGAAUUUGUAAUAAAUUCGCAACGACUGUUGAGUAGUGUUUUUUUUCACUGAAUAUUGAGUUUCAAAAUCAAACUAUCAUUCGCAACGACUGUUUUCAUUCUUAUUUUUUUUCUUUCAAUACUAUUACAGAGAGGCUUCCCUAUGCACUGGUGCAGUAUCGUCGGAUUACUGGAGUUGGCUGACGGCUCCUUCAUCUACUAUCCCCUCGUCGAAUGCUGUCAAAAUUGCCACGAGCGCAUCUACAAGAAGUGCAUUAAGCACUAUCACCACUUCAUUUGCGCGAGUCGCGUGCACGAAUGCUCCUGUGACUGUCAUGAAAAACACUGGAGUAAACUAACAGGAAAUAGGAACACAAGUAAAAGAAUUUGUUUAAAGAAGACAUGCGGUAGUCGUUCCAGAAAGUGCUGUACUGAGAAUCAAUGUGUUAAGUUGAAUGUCCAAAAACGUGCCAUACGAUAUAAACAACAUCUACUCAAGCAAACAUCUCACAAUUUGUAAACCAGUUGAUUUUAUUUUCUGAAAACUGCUUAGAUCCUCUCCUUCCAGUCGUCAUUUUCAGAUUUCAUUAAUCAUCAUGGUUGUGAAAUAUUGAAAUAAGUUUCUUUUAUAGGUCUGCAUGCACGACAGUAUAGAUAUAUAAUAACUGUUUUUAGAAAAGUGGAAUCACCGGUUUUAUUUGCAACUUGUGAGAUUAUUUUCGUGUUGAUAUCAAACGGGAUUACGGAAAGUUGAAUUAGGAUAACGUUUAGGAUUUUAGCAUAAGCUUUACAUUAUACUUAGUAUAGAAAUUUAAGGCAAAUAUAUUAAUCAAUGAUGAACUGCACUGCAUGGAAUUUGGGCACACUUUACUUAGUAGCAUAUUAAUCAAUGGUGAACUGCACUGGAGGACUAUAGGAAUAUGACUUGAAUGCUCAAUCACAUGAUAAAUGACAGUUAUGUGGUUUUACAUCACGAGUAAUACCUGAAUUCUUUGUACAAAUAUUACAAUUUAAUCUAAAAUACGACUUGUAUAUAUCUGUGCAAAAAGGUUCAUUAAAAUGUGGUUUGCCCAAAAAUUGUCUAUGGUUUUACUCAUUACUGUUGAAGACGUUUAAUUUGAAAGCAAAUUCUAAACUUAAUAGCAAUGUCAUCCGAAUGUUAUAACCUUUAUAACCGAUAUUUAUAGACAGAUUUAGAUCGAGGAUGCGGACGUCAAAGACGAC